rnacentral:rRNA from 1 species
AUGCCCACACUCAGAGCAUCCUCCUCCUCCCCCAAUCAUGUCCCUAAUGGAUCCGACACACAGGACCGGGGAGGGGAAGCAGGCAGAGUGGCCGCUGGUGCAGGCGAAGAUGCAUGGACACCAGCUAGAGCGAGGGUGGAGACCCAAGACGGCCCAGACCCCGGCCCUCCUGAGGAAACCGGCUCCCGCCGGCGAGCAGUCGAAGCAAGAGGCCCUUCGUCCUCGUUAGAAGAGCUGUCCUUAGAGAGUUCCCCUUCCCCAUCCUACCCGGCAGCAGAGGGAGCAAGCGGAGGGGAAGGGGGCUCGGGCCCCGCCCUCCAAUCAAGGUCGGCCAGGUCAAUCUUGUAG